GUCGAAGGUGGGGCUGAUGACUGGGGUGAAGUCGUAACAAGGUAGCCGUACCGGAAGGUGCGGCUGGAUCACCUCCUAACAGGGAGACAAACAACGAUUUUGAUGUCUGAGUUAUUUAUUCUUAGGCCGAAAUCCUGUCACCUUAGGUCGAUCGGUACCUCAACUUUGAAGCUAAGAGAAUUCAGCAAUGGAUUUCUGCUUAGUGGAGAUUUUUAGUUCCUAAACUUUGUCUAGUUCACAACCCAUUAGGGAUGAGACUCCUGGGCCAUUAGCUCAGGUGGUUAGAGCGCACCCCUGAUAAGGGUGAGGUCCCUGGUUCAAGUCCAGGAUGGCCCAUUCGGUGUAGGGGGUUUAGCUCAGUUGGUAGAGCGCCUGCUUUGCAAGCAGGAUGUCAGGAGUUCGAGUCUCCUAACCUCCACUGACUGCAAAGAAUCCCCAUCUCCAAAACCUGGAGUAUGAACUCGUAUGGAUUGUGAUUUAGAUGUGUCCGCUAGAUGACCCUAGCUUCUUGUCAUUUUAAGGCGUGGAAAUUAUUCCAUGAUUUGAUUGAUAGGAUGCUGGGCUCGAUGCAAUGUAUUGAGAGAUCAAUGCAUUGUUUUGAUGUCUGGCCGAACCUUGACAACUGCAUAGUAAGUCUGGAAAGAAUAAAGCAUCUUUAUGGAUGCAUCAUUCUUGAGUGUUAAUUCACGAUAGGAUGGUGUUAAUUCUAAAGCAAGAGCCGAGACUCCAGCAUGUUCUUUCAAAUGUGUCGAGCAUUUGAGAGUUUGAUUUUAAUUUCUACUUGUAGAAGUUAGAAGAAUCUGUUUCAACGACAGCAAGCGUGUUGGAGAUACAUUGGUCAAGCUACAAAGGGCUCACGGC
rnacentral:misc_RNA from 1 species